UCUCUCUGAAUCUGCGAACGGCUCCGCACACCAGUUGCAAACUAUAGCAAGCAAGCCCGUCGUUUCGCCGCAAGGUGGGCGGCGGGUAGAUGGAUAACCCUGGUAAUUCUGCGGCUAAUACAAGAAUGCAAAACCUCGCUGACUGGGCAACCGGAAGGCGGGGGGACGUGCUCUUCAAGUUGCAUGUAUAACCGGGAAAGGGGGCACGUCACGACCGCGCUAAAAAGGAAAGUUGCUCUUCGGGGCUUCUCUCUAGCGGCUCUUGCUAUGUACUUCUGACCUAUCAACUAGAUGGCAGCGUAAGGGACAUGCUAUGGUUACAACGGGUACAGAGGAUUAGGGUUCGAUCCUGGAGAGUGGGCCUGAGAGAUUGUUAG
rnacentral:rRNA from 1 species